CCUGUCCCUAGGGGCGUAGGUGUGGCUGCUGUGUCACCGAUGAGUCAUAGUUGACAGAGAGAGGCUAUGUCUACACUCAGUGUUCUGAUCCGUGAACAUCUGAGCGAUUAGUAACCUAACAUC
ensembl:snoRNA predicted gene, 23010